GACGAACGCUGGCGGCGUGCUUAACACAUGCGAGUCGAACGGAAAGGCCCUGAUUUUGUGGGGUGCUCGAGUGGCGAAGGGGUGAGUGACACGUGAGUAACCUGCACUUAACUUUGGGAUAACUUCAGGGAAAUGGGGCUCAUAUAGGAUAGGAUCUCCUGCUGCAUGGGGGGGGUUGGUAAGUUUCGGCGGUUGGGGCUGGACUAGCGGCUUAUCAGCUUGUUGGGGGGGUAGUGGAGUACCAAGGCUUUGACUGGUAGCCGGCCUGGGCGCGUGACCGGCGACAAUGGUACUGAGAUACGGCCCAGACUCCUACGGUAGGCAGCAGUGGGGAAUAUUGCACAAUGGGCGGAAGCCUGAGGCAGCAACGCCGCGUGCGGGAUGACGUCCUUCUGGUUGUAAACCGCUUUCGACUGUGACGAAGCGUGAGUGACGGUAAUGGGUAAAGAAGCACCGGCUAACUACGUG
rnacentral:rRNA from 1 species